rnacentral:misc_RNA from 1 species
CCGAGUUUACAACUCCCAAACCCAAUGUGAACGUUACCAAACUGUUGCCCUCGGCGGGGUCACGCCCCGGGUGCGUAAAAGCCCCGGAACCAGGCGCCCGCCGGAGGAACCAACCAAACUCUUUCUGUAGUCCCCUCGCGGACGUAUUUCUUACAGCUCUGAGCAAAAAAUUCAAAAUGAAUCA